GGCACUAUAGAAAAUAUCUAUAAGCGGGUGAACGAUUGUAUUGAAAGGAGCCUGAAUGGGCAUCCCAUUGAUACCAACAGCCGUGAAAUGCAGGCUAUUUCCA
rnacentral:misc_RNA from 1 species